AACUCUUUCAAUCGUAACGUACGCCUGUGUAUUCUUAUUUGGAACAUUUAGCAAUGGAGCGUUGAUUUACGUGGCGUGGAGCGCCGGCCUCGUCCGUAUACCGGCGUAUUGCUUUUUGGUUUCUUUAGCCGGUGCUGAUCUUCUGGUUCUUUGCACGGCACUGCCCACGGAAAUAGCAAGCUAUUUUGAUGACCGUUUGCAAAUCCAUCGGGCGUGGUGCGCCGCAUUUUCUGUGCUGACAUUUGUUGGGAUUAACGUUGGAAGCCUAAAUAUGUUGACCUUUGCUGCGGAACUCCAAAUCGGAAUAUGCCAGCCUCAGCUAGCAUACCGUAUCUGGCGAAAAACUCAAACUCGAUUGGUUAUUUGUUACUCCUGGGUGCUGGUGCUGUUGUACUCCAUUGCAUGGAUGUCGUUCAC